rnacentral:rRNA from 1 species
UAUCUCUGUAGAGUCUGCAUAUCAAUAAGCGGAGGAAAAGAAACUAACAAGGAUUCCCCUAGUAACGGCGUAGUGAAGCGGGAAGAGCUCAAAUUUGAAAUCUUCAAGGUUUGACCUUGACGAAUUGUAGUUUAAAGAAGUGUUUUCGGUUAGAGGAGUAGUAAAAGUUCUUUGGAAUAGGACAUCAUAGAGGGUGAGAAUCCCGAUAUUUGACUAUUCUUUCUAGCUUUGUGAUACACUUUCAAAGAGUCGGAUUGUUUGGGAAUGCAGUCCAAAAUGGGUGGUAAAUUUCAUCUAAAGCUAAAUAUUGGCGAGAGACCGAUAGCGAACAAGUACCGUGAGGGAAAGAUGAAAAGAACUUUGAAAAGAGAGUUAAACAGUACGUGAAAUUGUCAAAAGGGAAGCGUUUGACACCAGUGUUGUUUUUCCGAAAAUCAAUUAAAAAUUGAUUCAUGCCAGGUUGUAUUGACCUUAUCAGCUUGCAAUUUGGUUUUGGGUCUCUUUUUGAUGCACUUUUCGGUUAACAAGUCAACAUCAAUUUCCUUUGCUGUAAAAAGGUAAGAGGAAGGUGGCUUCAAUUUCGGUUGAAGUGUUUAUAGCCUUUUAGUCUCUGCAGUCGGGGAGAUUGAGGUCUGCAGCGUAGAUCCUUCGGGGCUAGAUACAUUUAUGCUAAGUUAUAGCUUUUCAUAGACAACUUGUUGACUAUGUUUAGUCAUGUAGCUUACUCGUAAGUGCUAUUUUACCUACGCUUAGGAUGUUGAGCGCAUGUCUCUCUCU